rnacentral:rRNA from 1 species
UGGGGAAUAUUGGACAAUGGGGGCAACCCUGAUCCAGCAAUGCCGCGUGUGUGAAGAAGGUCUUCGGAUUGUAAAGCACUUUCGACGGGGACGAUGAUGACGGUACCCGUAGAAGAAGCCCCGGCUAACUUCGUGCCAGCAGCCGCGGUAAUACGAAGGGGGCUAGCGUUGCUCGGAAUGACUGGGCGUAAAGGGCGUGUAGGCGGUUUACACAGUCAGAUGUGAAAAUCCCCGGGCUUAACCUGGGAGCU